GGUUAAGUUAGAAAGGGCGCACGGUGGAUGCCUUGGCACUAGGAGCCGAUGAAGGACGGGACGAACACCGAUAUGCUUCGGGGAGCUGUAAGCAAGCUUUGAUCCGGAGAUUUCCGAAUGGGGAAACCCACUGCUCGUAAUGGAGCAGUAUCCAUAUCUGAAUUCAUAGGAUAUGAGAAGGCAGACCCGGGGAACUGAAACAUCUAAGUACCCGGAGGAAGAGAAAGCAAAUGCGAUUCCCUGAGUAGCGGCGAGCGAAACGGGAUUAGCCCAAACCAAGAGGCUUGCCUCUUGGGGUUGUAGGACACUCUGUACGGAGUUACAAAAGAACGAGGUAGAUGAAGAGGUCUGGAAAGGCCCGCCAUAGGAGGUAACAGCCCUGUAGUCAAAACUUCGUUCUCUCCUGAGUGGAUCCUGAGUACGGCGGAACACGUGAAAUUCCGUCGGAAUCCGGGAGGACCAUCUCCCAAGGCUAAAUACUCCCUAGUGACCGAUAGUGAACCAGUACCGUGAGGGAAAGGUGAAAAGCACCCCGGAAGGGGAGUGAAAGAGAUCCUGAAACCGUGUGCCUACAAGUAGUCAGAGCCCGUUAACGGGUGAUGGCGUGCCUUUUGUAGAAUGAACCGGCGAGUUACGAUCCCGUGCAAGGUUAAGUUUGAAAAGACGGAGCCGCAGCGAAAGCGAGUCUGAAUAGGGCGCAUGAGUACGUGGUCGUAGACCCGAAACCAGGUGAUCUACCCAUGUCCAGGGUGAAGUUCAGGUAACACUGAAUGGAGGCCCGAACCCACGCACGUUGAAAAGUGCGGGGAUGAGGUGUGGGUAGGGGUGAAAUGCCAAUCGAACCUGGAGAUAGCUGGUUCUCUCCGAAAUAGCUUUAGGGCUAGCCUCAAGGUAAGAGUCUUGGAGGUAGAGCACUGAUUGGACUAGGGGCCCCUACCGGGUUACCGAAUUCAGUCAAACUCCGAAUGCCAAAGACUUAUCCUUGGGAGUCAGACUGCGAGUGAUAAGAUCCGUAGUCGAAAGGGAAACAGCCCAGACCGCCAGCUAAGGUCCCAAAGUAUACGUUAAGUGGAAAAGGAUGUGGAGUUGCUUAGACAACCAGGAUGUUGGCUUAGAAGCAGCCACCAUUUAAAGAGUGCGUAAUAGCUCACUGGUCGAGUGACUCUGCGCCGAAAAUGUACCGGGGCUAAACGUAUCACCGAAGCUGCGGACUGUUCUUACGAACAGUGGUAGGAGAGCGUUCUAAGGGCUGUGAAGCGAGACCGGAAGGACUCGUGGAGCGCUUAGAAGUGAGAAUGCCGGUAUGAGUAGCGAAAGAGGGGUGAGAAUCCCCUCCACCGAAUGCCUAAGGUUUCCUGAGGAAGGCUCGUCCGCUCAGGGUUAGUCGGGACCUAAGCCGAGGCCGAAAGGCGUAGGCGAUGGACAACAGGUUGAUAUUCCUGUACCACCUCCUCACCAUUUGAGCAAUGGGGGGACGCAGGAGGAUAGGGUAAGCGCGGUAUUGGAUAUCCGCGUCCAAGCAGUUAGGCUGGGAAAUAGGCAAAUCCGUUUCCCGUAAGGCUGAGCUGUGAUGGCGAGCGAAAUAUAGUAGCGAAGUUCCUGAUUCCACACUGCCAAGAAAAGCCUCUAGCGAGGUGAGAGGUGCCCGUACCGCAAACCGACACAGGUAGGCGAGGAGAGAAUCCUAAGGUGAUCGAGAGAACUCUCGUUAAGGAACUCGGCAAAAUGACCCCGUAACUUCGGGAGAAGGGGUGCUCUGUUAGGGUGCAAGCCCGAGAGAGCCGCAGUGAAUAGGCCCAGGCGACUGUUUAGCAAAAACACAGGUCUCUGCGAAGCCGUAAGGCGAAGUAUAGGGGCUGACGCCUGCCCGGUGCUGGAAGGUUAAGAGGAGCGCUUAGCGUAUGCGAAGGUGCGAAUUGAAGCCCCAGUAAACGGCGGCCGUAACUAUAACGGUCCUAAGGUAGCGAAAUUCCUUGUCGGGUAAGUUCCGACCCGCACGAAAGGCGCAACGAUCUGGGCACUGUCUCAACGAGAGACUCGGUGAAAUUAUAGUACCUGUGAAGAUGCAGGUUACCCGCGACAGGACGGAAAGACCCCGUGGAGCUUUACUGCAGCCUGAUAUUGAAUGUUGGUACAGCUUGUACAGGAUAGGUAGGAGCCUUGGAAACCGGAGCGCCAGCUUCGGUGGAGGCAUCGGUGGGAUACUACCNNGUAACGGAGGCGCCCAAAGGUUCCCUCAGAAUGGUUGGAAAUCAUUCGCAGAGUGUAAAGGCACAAGGGAGCUUGACUGCGAGACCUACAAGUCGAGCAGGGACGAAAGUCGGGCUUAGUGAUCCGGUGGUUCCGCAUGGAAGGGCCAUCGCUCAACGGAUAAAAGCUACCCCGGGGAUAACAGGCUUAUCUCCCCCAAGAGUCCACAUCGACGGGGAGGUUUGGCACCUCGAUGUCGGCUCAUCGCAUCCUGGGGCUGUAGUCGGUCCCAAGGGUUGGGCUGUUCGCCCAUUAAAGCGGUACGCGAGCUGGGUUCAGAACGUCGUGAGACAGUUCGGUCCCUAUCCGUCGCGGGCGCAGGAAAUUUGAGAGGAGCUGUCCUUAGUACGAGAGGACCGGGAUGGACGCACCGCUGGUGUACCAGUUGUUCUGCCAAGGGCAUCGCUGGGUAGCUAUGUGCGGACGGGAUAAGUGCUGAAAGCAUCUAAGCAUGAAGCCCCCCUCAAGAUGAGAUUUCCCAUUCCGCAAGGAAGUAAGAUCCCUGAAAGAUGAUCAGGUUGAUAGGUCUGAGGUGGAAGUGUGGCGACACAUGGAGCUGACAGAUACUAAUCGAUCGAGGACUUAACCUA
rnacentral:rRNA from 1 species